CCACUCUACCUGAACAGAAAAUGGAAAAUGUCCUCAGUGGCAGAUUGGUUCACCCACAUUCCCCUCCACUGCUGUUAUCAAUUGCUUCCUAAUAGGAACCAACAAGUUUUCUCUUCUGCUCGCCAUG